rnacentral:rRNA from 1 species
AUUGAACGCUAGCGGGAGGCUUAACACAUGCAAGUCGAACGAGUGGCGGACGGGUGAGUAAUAUCUCGGAAAGUGCCCAGUGGAGGGGGAUAACUACUGGAAAGAGUAGCUAAUACCGCAUACUAUUGGAGCGGCCCAUAUCGGAUUAGCUAGUUGGUGGGGUAAUGGCGCACCAAGGCAACGAUCCGUAGCUGGUUUUAGAGGAAGACCAGCCACACUGGGACUGAGCCACGGUCCAGACUCCGACGGGAGGCAGCAGUGGGGAAUUUUGGACAAUGGGGGCAACCCUGAUGCAGCCAUCCCGCGUGUAUGAUGAAGGCCUUCGGGUUGUAAAGUACUUUCAGCCGGGAGGCGUUACCCGCAGAAGAAGCACCGGCUAACUCCGUGCCAGCAGCCGCGGUAAUAC